AUUUGUACGCAAUUGAAGGAACACAAGAUUACGGUAAAAAGUACUGUAGACUAAGGAAUACAACCGUUGAAAAAUUCAACAAACAUAUAAAUUUGUCUGGGGCGAGGCUGCUAUCGAAACCUACGCUACCAAUUAAAUUUUUAAUCCGAUGAACGUGUGUGUUGUGGGAGUACAGAUUGCUGUAAUUGCUUGCACACAUAGCUUAUCGAGUAAUUGAACAAGAAAAUUUACUUGAGGAAAACGGGGUGUAAAUAAAAUACAUUCACAAAUAUAUAAAAAUUUGCACAAUUAUUAUAUUUUGAAGUUCUUUUUCG